CCUACGGGAGACAGCAGUGAGGAAUAUUGGUCAAUGGGCGAGAGCCUGAACCAGCCAAGUCGCGUGAAGGAUGACGGCCCUACGGGUUGUAAACCUCUUUAGGCGGGGAGCAAUGCCGGGCACGCGUGCCCGGAGGGAGAGUACCCGCAGAAGCAGCAUCGGCUAACUCCGGGCCAGCAGCCGCGGUAAUAAGGAGGAUGCGAGCGUUAUCCGGAUUUUUUGGGUUAAAAGGGUGCGUAGGCGGAUUGUUAAGUCAGCGGUAAAAUGUCCGGGCUCAACCCGGGCCUGCCGUUGAAACUGGUGAUCUUGAGUGGGCGAGAGGUAUGCGGAAUGCGUGGUGUAGGGGUGAAAUGCAUAGAUAUCACGCAGAACUCCGAUUGCGAAGGCAGCAUACCGGCGCCCGACUGACGCUGAGGCACGAAAGCGUGGGGAUCGAACAGGAUUAGAUACCCGUGUAGUC
rnacentral:rRNA from 1 species